CAUGAAUCUCUGGUGUUUAAGCUGCUCGUGUGCUGCACUUACAGUCACAGACAGCAGGCGGCGCUAUCCGUGGGUUUUUAAGCAUUGAUACAAAGUGCUGAAAGUAUCCAUGAGAAGAAUAACAGCUCUGGAAAAGAAAGUUCGAGCUGUGUUUUUAUGAGAUGGAAGGAGAUAAGAUUGAAGCCAAAGGUAAGGUGGGCGAUCUGGUGAUGCAGAACCCACAAGCACUGGCAGCUCUUCAGGACAGACUAGACAACUUAACACAGAGUUCUUCAGUUAUGGACAGCUUACCGCUGUCCAUCAGGAGAAGAGUCAACGCCUUAAAGAAUCUGCAAGUAAAGAGUUCACACAUAGAAGCCAAAUUUUACGAAGAGGUACACGAGCUGGAAAGAAAGUACGCUGCUCUAUAUCAACCACUGUUUGACAAGAGGAAAAGCAUUGUAACUGGUACAGUGGAACCUACAGACGAGGAAUGUGAAUGGCAGAGCGAGAGCGAUCACGAGGAUGAAGAGCUAGCGGAUGAGCUACAGAAGAAAGCCUCCAUAGAAGAGAAGAAAGCGGAAGAGGGGGGCGCUGCCGAGGAAAAUCCCAAAGGAAUUCCUGAAUUCUGGCUCACUAUAUUCCGCAGUGUGGACAUGCUGAGCGAUAUGCUACAGGAAGCCGACGAGCCAAUCCUUAAACAUCUACAAGAUAUUAAAGUGACGUUUUCUGGACCCGACGAACCGAUGAGUUUCACUUUAGAGUUUCACUUUGAACCUAACAGCUACUUUAAAAACACUGUUCUCACAAAAGUCUACAAGAUGAAGUCGGAACCCGACACGGACGAGCCGUUCUCCUUCGAAGGCCCAGAGAUCAUCGACUGUGAGGGAUGUGAGAUCGAAUGGCACAAAGGGAAAGAUGUUACCGUCAAAACUAUUAAGAAAAAACAGAAGCACAAGGGCAGGGGUGUCGUGAGGAUGGUCACUAAACAAGUGCCCACUGACUCCUUUUUUAACUUUUUCAACCCAAUUAAAGUUUCCCCGGAUAGUGAAUGGGAUGAGGACUCUGAAAUCACUCUAGCCACAGAUUUUGAAAUCGGACAUUUCUUCAGAGAGAGGAUAGUACCGAGAGCCGUGCUGUACUUCACCGGAGAGGCGCUGGAGGAUGAAGAAAGCUUCGAGGACGUAGAGCUCGAUGAAGGUGAAGAGGAGGAUCAAGAGGAUGAUAUGGAGGAAGAAGAGGAAGAAGGAGAUGCAAAGGCGUAACUCAUUUGUCACUUCAUGCAUUUCUAGCUCGCCUCUGGACAAAAUGAAGCGAAGUUGAACUGAAGUAAGGCGCUAGGGAACAACGGGUGUUGUGACGGUCGUGUCCCGCUCGGGUCAGAGAGCAUCAGAGCGAGGCGGUCUAGUGAACUUGAGUGUGAAAGUGAUUCGACUCCGAAUCGACUCAACUGCAGGAAGUGAAUCAAACACACGUGUGUUUUUGGGUUGCAGUGUUUGUUUGUUUUGGUUUUUUGUAGAUAUGAACUGCUAAACUGAGCCAAAGGAGAGAGCUGUAUGAACACCAGAUGCGAUAAACAAACCAGUUUUAAACUAGUUAUUUAUGUAAUUAUCUGACGAUUUGUUUAGCGCUGACUCAUGCUCUCUGUGCGCGGGUGCUUUUUACAGCUUCCAAACACACUUCUGUUAACCGUCCUCGUAUUUCUGACGAACGAACGACUGAAAGAGUUUUACAAGGACGUUUUCAGCCCUGUACGACUCUCAGCCGCUGUUUUACUUCAUUUAUUCGAGAUCGAAAAUGGAGUAAUGGCGUGCUCCGACUUUCCACUUUGGAGUUGAACGCAGCAUUCCGAGUCCAGGGUGCGUGCAGGUUACUUGGGUAAUAACAUUCUAGGUCAUUUUCUGCCAAAAAGUAUUAAACAAAACUACAAGCAAAGCAGAAUUAUUUGCAUACUCAAUUGUUAAGUAAAUGCAAAGGUUUCGUUUUACACUCCACUGCCCUCUGCUGGUUCAUAUUCAGAUAUUUCGUGCAAGAAUGAGAAUAAAGCUCUUUAGUUUCUCUUCCAGCUGCAGCGUUAUAUGUUACUGCCCGAGGUAAUUACGGAUAAUUAGUUUAAUUAGAUGUUUAAUCUGUGCAACUAAGGCUUUGUUGACUCUUCAGUGAAAAAACAGAAACUCUACCAGAGAUACUGCAUUUAAAAAACAAACAAACAAACAAAAAAAAACAGUGGUUGUAAACUAUUUUAAUUAUUAUAAUUAUUAAAAUGUUUCUCCUGACUUGUCAUUUUUAAAAUUUGAAAAACGAGCAAAUACGCCACACUGGUUUGUAACAUUUAAAAAAAAUUAAAAAAAAAAAAAUUAUCUGUAGCAUCCAUGUAGGAUAUUUCUAAGAAAGCAAACACUUUAGCGUCUGAUAUUUGUACGCUGUAUUUAAUUGUUUAAUACUCAUUUCUUCCUUCCAAACUGAUUUUAGUGAUUUUACUGU